GCGGGCACUGCAGCCCCAACCUCGCCGUCCCCCCAUCUCGCCCUCCCACCACCGGCCCGCCCCCAUCGGUUUCCCCCACGGCGCCGUCCCCAUCCUCCUCCCACCACAACGCCGCCCCACCGCGCCCCCCACCCCCACCACUGAGCCGCCACCUUGCGCUCCUCCCGUCACGCCGGCCACUCUGUCCUAUUGUUCCCCGUCGCGCCGGCCACCCCGCCAGCGGCUCCCUGUCGCGUCUUCUCGCCAAGGCCCAGCCACCCCGCCCGCUGCUCGCCGUCGUGUCUCCUUGCCAAGGGCAGGCUACCAUCGUACCACGUUCGCCUCUCUGCUCCCGUCAAGUUCAGGCAUUUGUUCAGGCCCCUGCACCACAAGGAAUUGGUCAUGGAUGGGCUUAACAUUACAGGAAGAUUGAAGUAAUUAAUAAUACCAAGGCUUGAGAAGGCGGGUGAAUACACCGUUCAACCUCGGGAUCAUGCUGGCCAAAGACUUCGCCUAGGCACACAGAAUGGCAGAUCGAUCCGGUCGUUCGUGGCAGCAGUAAGCUCAAUACGCUGGACAGCUGCAGCUUGCUUGGUCUGCCCAUAUGAGCAGGAAAAAUUUGAACCCUCUUAAGACUACCAGAAAUAGCUCAGGGUAUACAGUGAUAUUAAUAAACAUGCGCUAUUUCGUGAGCUUUGGUAGAAGUAAGAUCCUUUUAGAUGAUACACACUUAUUCAUGUAUGACUUGCUGCAUCCACUCCCCACAUUAUAUUUUUCAAUCAGUACACAUUUCAUUUUUAUUAAUUAAGAGACUGUUUUGGAUAAAUAUUGGAUUCAUUAGGUUCAAGAAAUGUUAGCUUAACUACCAGUAUUUUUAUACACUGAGAUUCAUCCUCUAUACAACCUUUAGGCAGAACUGUAAAUGGAUUAAACUACAUAUUUUUGUGAGCAGUUCUAAUCCUUUUGUUGGAUAACCGCUAACAGCCUAACAGUUAUCUAACAGUAAAUCGCAGACUGUUGUUUCAUUAGCAUGCAGGAACAAAUGCUUCAAUCCUCUCAAAUGAUAUAGAGUAGUAUGUGCAUGCAUCCUGCAUGAUGGAAUGCUUAUUGAAGGGUGCCAGCUUGGGAAUAAACUUAAGUAUGAAGCUGAAAGCCAGAGAAGAGUCGAUGGAAACUGUCCUCUGGGUAUCAAAAAAGUAUUGUGCAAUCAGUGCGGAAGAAAGAAACUUCAACAAAAAGACAAUGUGGUAUCGAAGGGGCACAUAUACAUGUGGGUAUUGGUGUUAAAGUAUCUUAGCCGUGUGAAUGUUGAUGAUUUCUGCAUAUGUUAGCAUUUCUGCAUAACUGAAACUUAUGUAGGUCCUACCAGUAAUGUUGAUGGUAUUUUGGUGAACCCUUAGCAAUUUAGAUCUAACUUUGUAAUUGCACAUAUAUAGAUCAUCGCUACAACAUUAUCUUGGACUUUAUGUGUAAAAACUAAAACAACCACUAGCCCUUGCAGGUGGCACAGGUUGAUGACUAGUUACUGAUUAACCCAAAUUCAUCAGCGCCACAAGACCCUGUUAUUGUUUCUGUGCCAGAGGUAAUAUUAUUUUGAAUUCCGAAGUUGCAGCUUUCUAUGAGCGGUGUGCUUAUAUGAUUAUGUACUCUUGUUGUUGAUUUCAAAUUUGAUCACUUUUAAAACAUUGAGUGGACAAGUUAGUGACUACGCUGCUCAUAUUUGUAUAUGGAGAUGCUUAGCAAUUAUUGUGUUUUUCUUCUUCGGAGAUUAUAAAAUUAUUUCCAUUUGGUAUAAUUUUGUGAAUUGAAAGGAGCUCAUUUACCAAAGUUAUUUCAAAUGUUAGCAAGACUUUAGCUAAUAAUCUUUGACAACUCUUAGUUUCUACAUAAUGAACUCGUAUUCUUGUUAUCCUACCAUUUCUCAUUAUGUGAAUACGCUGUGAACUGCAGCCUGCAGGCAUGCUAGAUGCAUAGGCUAUUGCAGUUGUUGCGGUAGUACUGACUACUGUGAUACAGUAAAACUAUCCCAAGAAGCAUUUGCUGGUUUCUGUUCUGAUUACUUCUGGCUUGUCUUCCAGUAAUUAUUAUCUAUUUAUAGGUGAGGGAGACUAAACAUCAGAUGAAUCUAUGUUUUGAAAGACUAGACCACCAGGGGACUAGAAAUCAACGUCUCUCAAGCAGAAGGCAUAGUUCUGCACUCAAGAUUCGAGAGAUGGAUCAUUGAGUUUUAGCUGAAUUCUUUGGUCAAAUCAAGAAGGAAAUGAAGUCCGAAGAUUUUUCUUAGGAAGAAAUAAAGUUUACAUUGCUAGAUUGAAAAAUGCAAUCUUGUAUUUGUCACAAUUGUGUUAUCUAUAGUCAAACUUAUAUAAAUGUUAUGAUAUUGCAUCAAUAAUAUUGUUAUUUAUUUAUUGGAA